UUGCUCCCGGAUGUUAGCGGCGGACGGGUGAGUAACACGUGGGUAACCUGCCUGUAAGACUGGGAUAACUCCGGGAAACCGGAGCUAAUACCGGAUAGUUCCUUGAACCGCAUGGUUCAAGGAUGAAAGACGGUUUCGGCUGUCACUUACAGAUGGACCCGCGGCGCAUUAGCUAGUUGGUGGGGUAAUGGCUCACCAAGGCGACGAUGCGUAGCCGACCUGAGAGGGUGAUCGGCCACACUGGGACUGAGACACGGCCCAGACUCCUACGGGAGGCAGCAGUAGGGAAUCUUCCGCAAUGGACGAAAGUCUGACGGAGCAACGCCGCGUGAGUGAUGAAGGUUUUCGGAUCGUAAAGCUCUGUUGUUAGGGAAGAACAAGUGCGAGAGUAACUGCUCGCACCUUGACGGUACCUAACCAGAAAGCCACGGCUAACUACGUGCCAGCAGCCGCGGUAAUACGUAGGUGGCAAGCGUUGUCCGGAAUUAUUGGGCGUAAAGGGCUCGCAGGCGGUUUCUUAAGUCUGAUGUGAAAGCCCCCGGCUCAACCGGGGAGGGUCAUUGGAAACUGGGAAACUUGAGUGCAGAAGAGGAGAGUGGAAUUCCACGUGUAGCGGUGAAAUGCGUAGAGAUGUGGAGGAACACCAGUGGCGAAGGCGACUCUCUGGUCUGUAACUGACGCUGAGGAGCGAAAGCGUGGGGAGCGAACAGGAUUAGAUACCCUGGUAGUCCACGCCGUAAACGAUGAGUGCUAAGUGUUAGGGGGUUUCCGCCCCUUAGUGCUGCAGCUAACGCAUUAAGCACUCCGCCUGGGGAGUACGGUCGCA
rnacentral:rRNA from 1 species